ACCCCCACCCCUCCCAAAAAAGGGUUUGCCCUAACUUCUCAACCCUGCGGCGGUGCGGCCCUGCCACCGACCCGUGCGGCGGUCGCGGUCCCUUCCCCUCCCCCUCUUCCCUUCCGGCUGCUCGCCGAACGCAAUCGGAAGCCCUCCUCUUCAGAAAUCGAAGAUCGAGUUCUUCACUCUUCAGAAAUCGAAACCCUCCUCGUCGCCUCUUCCUCUUCCGCUUCCGCUAUCCAACGAUAUAUAGAUCAGUAAUAAGGUGGUUCUUUACAAACCAAGUACGAUUUGAGUUUUCAUUCUUCAAAGCAAAAGUUGGAAGCUUUUAGUCCAUCUGAUGGAUACUUUUUUAUACACAAAUGGCUCGAGUGCUUAAAUUGAAUGUGUCCAUUCUCUGUUAUGCACCUUAAAUUGUUAAGAACUUAAGACCCAAACAUAGAGCUAAAUAAUGUUAAUUAACCUAGGGACCAUGCCUACUUUAGACUUUAGAAUUUAGGAACUCUUGUAUUUUACAUUUAAAUAUAGAUUAUCUUGAUCUCUUAUUUGGUUAAUUAUUUAUUUUUUUUUAGGCAUAAUAUAGUUUAUUAUUUUUUUAUUUAAUUUUGUAGCUUUUUAUUCUUAUAUUCUUAAAAAAUAUGAAUAUUUAUGCUAAUAGCAUAAAUUUUGAGAGGAAAAAAAUUUAAUUUAAUAGCCGAAUUUUUGAUCCCGAAUUUUUAAUUGGUGAACGUAUAAUAUCCGUAUAAAUCACGUAUCCGAAUAAUUGGCGAAUUCGUUUUUUAGCCGUUUUUUUCAACGAAUUUAAAAAUUAGAAGACGAAUUUUAUCCGAAUUAUACCCGUACCGAAUUUUUGCCGAAUCCGAAUUAACUAACUAUGGUAAGAACAAGGAGCCCAAUCAUGUUUCUCCUACCACAUACCUU
rnacentral:lncRNA from 1 species